rnacentral:rRNA from 1 species
UACGGAGGGGGCGAGCGUUAUUCGGAAUUAUUGGGCGUAAAGGGCGCGUAGGCGGCUUGAUAAGUCAAAGGUGAAAUCCCUCGGCUCAACUGAGGAACUGCCUUGAAACUGUCAGACUUGAGGCCGGGAGGGGGUAGCGGAAUUCCCGAGUGUGAGCGGUGAAAUGCGUAGAUAUUGGGAGGAACACCGGUGGCGAAGGCGGCUGACCUGGAACCUGGUUCUGACGCUGAUGCGCGAAAGCGUGGGUAGCAA